GAGCCGCAACCCUCGACCUUUAGUUGCCAGCAUUCAGUUGGGCACUCUAAGGUGACUGCGGCUAAAAGUCGGAGGAAGUGGGGAUGACGUCAAAUCAUCAUGCCCCUUAUGACCUGGGCUACACACGUGCUACAAUGGGCGGUACAAAGGGUCGCGAACCCGCGAGGGGGAGCCAAUCCCAAAAAGCCGCUCUCAGUUCGGAUUGCAGGCUGCAACUCGCCUGCAUGAAGCCGGAAUCGCUAGUAAUCGCGGAUCAGCAUGCCGCGGUGAAUACGUUCCCGGGCCUU
rnacentral:rRNA from 1 species